rnacentral:snRNA from 1 species
AUACCUUUCUCGGCCUUUUGGCUAAGAUCAAGUGUAGUAUCUGUUCUUAUCAGUUUAAUAUCUGAUACGUGGGUUAUUAACUCACAUGAUAUUAAAUUAAUUUUUUUAGGGGGAGGGCCCACUACAAUAGCUUGCUACUGGGGUCCUUAAGCGUCGCCCAUGCGUUGCACUAGAGCACGGGCCUGACGCACCCCAC